rnacentral:rRNA from 1 species
AGCCUCUAAGCUUCAGAUUGUAAGGAAUCGUACCCCAAACCGACACAGGUGGUCGGGUAGAGAAUACCAAGGCGCUUGAGAGAACUCGGGUGAAGGAACUAGGCAAAAUGGUACCGUAACUUCGGGAGAAGGUACGCUCUUGAUGGUGAAGUCCCUUGCGGAUGGAGCUGACGAGAGUCGCAGAUACCAGGUGGCUGCAACUGUUUAUUAAAAACACAGCACUGUGCAAAAUCGUAAGAUGACGUAUACGGUGUGACGCCUGCCCGGUGCCGGAAGGUUAAUUGAUGGGGUUAGACUUCGGUCGAAGCUCUUGAUCGAAGCCCCGGUAAACGGCGGCCGUAACUAUAACGGUCCUAAGGUAGCGAAAUUCCUUGUCGGGUAAGUUCCGACCUGCACGAAUGGCGUAAUGAUGGCCACGCUGUCUCCACCCGAGACUCAGUGAAAUUGAAAUCGCUGUGAAGAUGCAGUGUACCCGCGGCUAGACGGAAAGACCCCGUGAACCUUUACUACAGCUUGGCACUGAACAUUGACCCUACAUGUGUAGGAUAGGUGGGAGGCUUUGAAGCACGUACGCCAGUAUGUGUGGAGCCGUCCUUGAAAUACCACCCUUGUAGUGUUGAUGUUCUAACGUCGACCCCUAAUCGGGGUUGCGGACAGUGCCUGGUGGGUAGUUUGACUGGGGCGGUCUCCUCCCAAAGAGUAACGGAGGAGCACGAAGGUGGGCUAAUCACGGUUGGACAUCGUGAGGUUAGUGCAAUGGCAUAAGCCCGCUUGACUGCGAGAAUGACAAUUCGAGCAGGUGCGAAAGCAGGUCAUAGUGAUCCGGUGGUUCUGAAUGGAAGGGCCAUCGCUCAACGGAUAAAAGGUACUCCGGGGAUAACAGGCUGAUACCGCCCAAGAGUUCAUAUCGACGGCGGUGUUUGGCACCUCGAUGUCGGCUCAUCACAUCCUGGGGCUGAAGUCGGUCCCAAGGGUAUGGCUGUUCGCCAUUUAAAGUGGUACGCGAGCUGGGUUUAGAACGUCGUGAGACAGUUCGGUCCCUAUCUGCCGUGGGCGUUGGAAGAUUGAAGGGGGCUGCUCCUAGUACGAGAGGACCGGAGUGGACGAACCUCUGGUGUUCGGGUUGUGUCGCCAGACGCAUUGCCCGGUAGCUAAGUUCGGAAUCGAUAACCGCUGAAAGCAUCUAAGCGGGAAGCGAGCCCUGAGAUGAGUCUUCCCUGAUACUUUAAGUAUCCUAAAGGGUUGUCGGAGACUACGACGUUGAUAGGUCAGGUGUGUAAGUGCUGUGAGGCAUUGAGCUAACUGAUACUAAUUGCCCGUGAGGCUUAACCAU